AUUGAACGCUGGCGGAAUGCUUUACACAUGCAAGUCGAACGGCAGCACGGGGGCAGCCCUGGUGGCGAGUGGCGAACGGGUGAGUAAUACAUCGGAACGUGCCCGGUCGUGGGGGAUAACGUAGCGAAAGUUACGCUAAUACCGCAUACGAUCUGAGGAUGAAAGCGGGGGACCUUCCGUCCUCGCGCGAUCGGAGCGGCCGAUGUCAGAUUAGGUAGUUGGUGGGGUAAAGGCCUACCAAGCCGACGAUCGGUAGCUGGUCUGAGAGGACGACCAGCCACACUGGGACUGAGACACGGCCCAGACUCCUACGGGAGGCAGCAGUGGGGAAUUUUGGACAAUGGGCGCAAGCCUGAUCCAACCAUUCCGCGUGCAGGACGAAGGCCUUCGGGUUGUAAACUGCUUUUGUACGGAACGAAAAGGCUCUGGCUAAUACCUGGGGCUCAUGACGGUACCGUAAGAAUAAGCACCGGCUAACUACGU
rnacentral:rRNA from 1 species